CUCUCUCGCACUUGAACCCGGCAAACUCGAAUAUUAAAAAGGUUCAAGAGGAUGCUUUUGAGAGAAUGGUACAAUUAUUUGGCCUGUAGAAUUGGAAAAAUGUGAUGAGAUGGUUUGGUUAGUAAAGGGUUUGAAUGAAUAUACAGAGCACUACUCUAUCUGUGAGGUUCAAUUUUUGGUCUUCUAAUAUGAAGGGGACUCCAUUUCCCGUGUCACCAUAAUUAAAGAAAGGAUGUCCGAGAUAGAAUAUCCACCAAUCAGUGUUGAUAUGAGGAACCAAGCCUCAGCAAUUAUGGAAUUGUCUUGCUGAAAGUGGAAAUGCCUUCGAUUGCCAUGACGUUUCAGUCGAGCUUGAAGUCUGGGGGGAUGAAUUACAUUCAGCCAAGUGUCCUCGGUUUUGUAUGGAAAUUGAAUCUGAUCAGGUUUGCAAAGUUCACGGCGGUUACUAUGCAGAUUCAUCACCAGAGUUUGGGAGGGACAGAAGUUCCAAUUGCUCAUCACAAGAUUUUCCAGGUAAGCUGAGAGAGUCAAGCUUGUGAAGAGCUCUUGAACUGGCCAGCAUAUUUAUACUCGAUUAUCCUUUCUUCCAAAUUGCGGUGAGUUGAAUAUAUAUCUGAAGAAAAGCAAUAUGAGAGUUCCUGGUUCAUUCCUAAAGACGCACGUUAAGAAAAGCCCGCAGACCAUGGCUCUCAUAUUUCAAGACAAAGCAUGGCGUUGAAGCUCACCAGCCCUGAACAUUAUGGAAAGUUAUUUGCCCGCAGGGCUGCAUUCAUGAGAUAAACCUCUCUGAAGGCGGA